CAUUAUCACGUUGAAACACCGGUCCUCGUAUGAUCACCGAAGUUAAACAAUGUUGAGCCUGGUCAGUACGUAGAUGGGUGAGCGCUUAGGAAUAUUAGGUGCUGUAAG